UACGGAGGGUGCAAGCGUUGUCCGGAAUCACUGGGCGUAAAGGGCGCGUAGGCGGCUCAUGAAGGCUGUGGUGAAAGUCCGGGGCUCAACCUCGGACCGGCCGUGGCGACUCGUGGGCUGGAGCACUGUAGAGGCAGGUGGAAUUCCGGGUGUAGCGGUGGAAUGCGUAGAGAUCCGGAAGAACACCAGUGGCGAAGGCGGCCUGCUGGGCAGUGGUUGACGCUGAGGCGCGACAGCGUGGGGAGCAAACGAGG
rnacentral:rRNA from 1 species